UUCAGAUUUUAUGACUGUAACUGGCAACCCGAGCGAUGUUACGAUUCUUCCUGACCCUGAUUCUACUGCACCUUUUGAACUGUAGACCUGGGGACAGUCAGGCUCCCCCAUCAGAGACGGUGAUGCUCAAAUUGGAGAGUGGGAGCAGUCCAUGCGC